rnacentral:rRNA from 1 species
UACGGAGGGGGCUAGCGUUGUUCGGAAUUACUGGGCGUAAAGCGCACGUAGGCGGCUUUGUAAGUUAGAGGUGAAAGCCCGGGGCUCAACUCCGGAAUUGCCUUUAAGACUGCAUCGCUAGAAUUGUGGAGAGGUAAGUGGAAUUCCGAGUGUAGAGGUGAAAUUCGUAGAUAUUCGGAAGAACACCAGUGGCGAAGGCGACUGACUGGACAUGUAUUGACGCUGAGGUGCGAAAGCGUGGGGAGCAAACAGG